UACGUAGGGGGGCAAGCGUUGUCCGGAUUCAUUGGGCGUAAAGAGCGUGUAGGCGGCCAGGUAGGUCGGUUGUGAAAACUGGAGGCUCAACCUUCAGAGGUCGACCGAAACCAUCUGGCUAGAGUCCGGGAGAGGAGAGUGGAAUUCCUGGUGUAGCGGUGAAAUGCGCAGAUAUCAGGAAGAACACCCGUGGCUAAGGCGGCUCUCUAGUACGGUACUGACGCUGAGACGCGAAAGCGUGGGGAGCAAACAGG
rnacentral:rRNA from 1 species